rnacentral:rRNA from 1 species
UUNUUUUAAAGUUUNNUNNCNCCCGCUCAGGACGAACGCUGGCGGCGUGCCUAAUACAUGCAAGUCGAACGCUUCUUUUUCCACCGGAGCUUGCUCCACCGGAAAAAGAGGAGUGGCGAACGGGUGAGUAACACGUGGGUAACCUGCCCAUCAGAAGGGGAUAACACUUGGAAACAGGUGCUAAUACCGUAUAACAAUCGAAACCGCAUGGUUUUGAUUUGAAAGGCGCUUUCGGGUGUCGCUGAUGGAUGGACCCGCGGUGCAUUAGCUAGUUGGUGAGGUAACGGCUCACCAAGGCCACGAUGCAUAGCCGACCUGAGAGGGUGAUCGGCCACAUUGGGACUGAGACACGGCCCAAACUCCUACGGGAGGCAGCAGUAGGGAAUCUUCGGCAAUGGACGAAAGUCUGACCGAGCAACGCCGCGUGAGUGAAGAAGGUUUUCGGAUCGUAAAACUCUGUUGUUAGAGAAGAACAAGGAUGAGAGUAACUGUUCAUCCCUUGACGGUAUCUAACCAGAAAGCCACGGCUAACUACGUGCCAGCAGCCGCGGUAAUACGUAGGUGGCAAGCGUUGUCCGGAUUUAUUGGGCGUAAAGCGAGCGCAGGCGGUUUCUUAAGUCUGAUGUGAAAGCCCCCGGCUCAACCGGGGAGGGUCAUUGGAAACUGGGAGACUUGAGUGCAGAAGAUGAGA